AGGACGAACGCUGGCGGCGUGCUUAACACAUGCAAGUCGAACGAGGCGCUUGCGCCUAGUGGCGAACGGGUGAGUAACACGUGAGCAACCUGCCCUUGGCUCUGGGAUAGCCUCCGGAAACGGGGAUUAAUACCGGACAUGACCUUCUCCUGCAUGGGGGAGGUGGAAAGUUUUCGGCCAGGGAGGGCUCGCGGCCUAUCAGCUUGUUGGGGGGUAACGCCCACCAAGGCGACGACGGGUAG
rnacentral:rRNA from 1 species